AGAAACUUCACUAGAGAGCAGCGAAAAGACAGAAAGGACAGAGAGAGAAAAAGUGACAAAUUAGAGACGUCGUUAUCCAGGAACUGAUCACAUGUUCAUACCAGCUGUAAGCAGGGAAAGAACAGAGAAGACGGAGGGGAACGCCCACCAGAUGAGACGGGAUGUCGGCGAAGAUGCGCGGCAGCUGUUUUCCUGCCUCCAGGUCGGGCCGGGGCCGGGGGAUCUGCACGUCGCCCAGUGUUUUUUGCGUCGGGCCUCCUCCUGGGCGAUGCGCUGUUCGAUGGCCGCCAGGGAGUC